rnacentral:lncRNA from 1 species
GGCCUCCUGCGCGAAGCGCGCCAGCGCGCGGGCCGCCGCCUCGGCCUCCUCUCGCUGCCGGGCCUCGUCGUCUAGGCGCUGGCGCACGUGCGCGAUGUCCUCGAGCAGGUGCUCCUGCUCCAGGCGUAGCUGACCGCGCGCCGCGCCCAGGCGCAGCACCGCGCCGCGCAUCUCGCGGACCUCGCGCUCGUACAGCUCGCCCAUAGCGGAGCGGCCCGCCUGCUGCUGCCGCAGCGCCGCAGCCUCGCCCUCCAGGCUGCGGUUGUGCGCCUCCAGCUGCCGCACCUUGUCGAUGUACCCGGCGAAGCGGUCGUUCAGCGCCUGCAGCUGCUCCUUCUCACUGCGUGAGGUGGCCACCGCCACCAUGCAGCCCUCCGGCCCGUUGCUCAGCGUGUCCAGCGAGUCGGUGCUUGAGGCGGCGCCUGCGCCACGGAAGCGGCUGGGCGAGGCGGACACGGAGCUCACGGACGUCCGUGUCCACGAGUGGAAGCCGCUGGAGGAGCCAGCGGCGG